AUGCGCGCUGGCGCCCGGCGACCGCUCGGGCUCCGACGAGCAGGUGCUGUGAGGAGAUGGAGGCGACAACAGCAACGGUCCGCGGCUCUCUCGUGUUUCCCGUCUAAACUUCAACGCAGGUUUGGGAACAUAAAAUUACUUUGAAAAUGUUGCUGAAGUGGGAGAAAGUAUCCUGACUGGUUGCAUCAUGGUACAGCAGUUCCAAUGCACGGGAGCACUAAAGAUGGCAGAAAGUGGUGGACUCAGCCCGAUUCUUCAUGGGCACAGCUCUUCCCACCAUUGCAUGUAUUUAACUGAGGUGCUUCCUCAAGUAGAUGGCAUCUCUCAUCAAGGAUCCCCACCAUCCAGUUAAGGCCAUUUUUCUCUCUGCUACCAUCAGUCAGGAGGUACAGAAGCUUGAAGUCCCACACCACCAGGUGCAGGGACAGUUACAUUCCAAUAAAUAUCAGGUUCUUGAACCCACCUGCGCAACCCUAAUCCUAUCAUAAGGAGACAUAGGGUUGUUAUUUCAAUGAAGCUUCACUGAAAAGGGAAAGCUGGCUACAGAUUAAAUUUAUGAAUCUAUAGGCAAGUUAUUGACCUGGUUAGCAAAGUGAAUGAGCAGCGAGAGACAGCAUUGGUGAUGGGCAGAAAUUUACAUUAACAGGAUCCCACAGCAAUCUCCUUUGCGAGAGGAGAUGGACACAUAAAGCUGGAGUAACUCAGCAGGUCAGACAGCAUCUCUGGUGAAAAGGAAUAUGUGACAUUUUGGGUCGAGACUCUUCUUCAGACCCGAAACAUCGCCUAUUCCUUUUCUCCAGAGAUGCUGUCUGACUUGCUGAGUUAAUCCCGCUUUUUAUGUUUAUCUUCGGUUUAAACCAGUAUCUGCAGUUCGAUCCUACACAUCGUUUGAGACAAAAACUAUUCAUUGUAUUUUUAAAUGACUUAAAUGAUGGGAUAGAAAGCAGUAUAUGCAGAUUUGCUCAAGAUAUAGUGACUAACAACAUGGUAGCAGUUUAGGUGGAAACAUUAAAUGAGCAAAAGCAGAUAUUAAGUAUUUAUGUCACAGAUCAACCAUGAUUAAGUGAAUGGGUAAAACUGUACCAUUGUAGAUUUCACUGUAGCCAAAGGGUUCAACGUUUCUGAACCUAAAAACGCUUACAAAGAGAAUACAUACCAAAUUUAGAACGCCUCGAGACACAGCAGGUACCGAGACUUACAGACACACAUACGUUAGAAUGUCAUGGAUGAGUAAAUAAACUAAUUAGAAAGACAAGUGGAACAAUGCCUUAAUAUUUACAUGACAGGAUUUAUGCUUUAUAACUCCCUGGUUAAAAUACACCUGGUGCAUGGUUGGGAAUAUGGGGAGUGAGAGCAGGGUGAAUUGAUACAAUUAUGAAGGGAGAUGGCACAAACUAUGAAUGAAUUCAUUUCAGUUUAAUGGCUAACUGGAGUGUAGUUUUUGUUGUAUUAAAGGUGAAAUGAUGGGUUAGGAGAAGAUAGAAGAGCACAGGAACCGGCCCUUCAGCCCACAAUGCAUGUGAUGAAUAUGAUGCUAAAACCAACUCUUAUCUGCCUGUAUAAAAUCCAUAUCCCUUCAUUCCCCACAUAUCCAUAUGCCUAUCCAAAAGUCUUUUAAAUGGUGGAGAGCAACUACUUUUGUGGGAGCUGAGAUUUUAAUAUAAGAUUUAGGCAGUCUUUACAGGAAUGGUUAGAAAAUACAUCUGCAUGAAGAAGUAUUAUUGAAAUAAGUGAGAAUGACACAUUUUCAUCGGCCUAAGUUAUUGAGACACAAUGAGGUUUAAACAGUUACAUCAUAGAUUAACGAUGAUUUCCUUGAGUGGAAUAAAUAAUGCUCCACCCAUCUUCCUCGUGCCAAGUAACUACGGAGAUUAACGUUGACAUCAAAACAUCAGUUGACUGAAUGCGGCGUAAGUAGCUAUUAAUAUUGGAGUGAACAGGAAUCAAGUAGAACAUUUUUUACUGACUGCACUUAUAAGUAUUCUAUAGUUGGUAAUGUUAUGCUUAUCCAAAUAUUGUUUUGCAAUUUUUUUUUCUUCAAAUGGCCAACCAAUUUCAAAGCACAGGUACAUAGGAACAGGCCCUUCAGCUCACUUGUCUGUAUCGAACAUGAUGCCAAGACCACCUCGAAUAUGCGUACACCUAAUCCAAAUACCUCCAUUCCCUGCAUAUCCAUGUGCCUAUUCAAAAGUCACUUAAAUGUGAUUAUUGAAUAUGCCUCCACCACCAUCCCAGUUAAUAAAUGUUAAUGUAUUCUGCAAUGGAAUUGUAUUUUCUGCAAAAAUCACCAAAUAUGUAAUAUAAAUAAUGUUAUUUUCCAGUGUUUUCUACUGUGAAAUUAAGGUAGUGCCUGCCAGGGUAAUAGCAUUUGACAAUGUCAUCAUGAAUCUAUAUGCUUCAAACUAAUUCAAUUAAAAUUUCAACAAUAAAUAUUCCAAAUAUAAUAUUUACAUGUAGUACAAUAUUAUAAAUUAUGUAUGAUUUAGAGUAUGUCAUUGAAAGUUAUGAUACUAUGAGUUCAAAUAAACUGAAUAAAGUUAA